UCAUUUUCAAUUUGUUUAAUUCCAAAUUGUAAAAAGGCUGCAAUGGCAAAGCAGUUAUCGUCGCCUUCGAUUAUGACUCGGGCUGUUAACUCAGUAUUCUCUUUCGUCCGAUUCGCUGAGUUUGAGAUUCUCUUUGUCCUCUUUGCCCUUGUAGCAUAUCUAAUCUUCAAAGAUCUGACAUCGAGACCAGAGUAUAAUCAGAUAUUACUGAAGAAGCCUGGUGGACCUGAUUGGUCGCCUUGAGUUAUUUGAUAUUCCUGUAUAUCCUCCUGUAAUACAGCAAAAUGUGAUUUCCUUCUUAUCUUAGCAAAUGUUUAACUCUUAGUUGUGAAUUGUGAUAAUGAAAUUUCUGGUAUCCUGUAUAGAGGUACUAAUGUCAGUGAUCACAAUUUGUUUUGUUGAUUAGCUAGAUCACAAGCUACUGCAGAUUUUUCCAUA